UGGGGAAUUUUGGACAAUGGACGCAAGUCUGAUCCAGCCAUGCCGCGUGCGGGAAGAAGGCCUUCGGGUUGUAAACCGCUUUUGUCAGGGAAGAAACGAGUUUCUCUAAUACAGAGACUUAAUGACGGUACCUGAAGAAUAAGCACCGGCUAACUACGUGCCAGCAGCCGCGGUAAUACGUAGGGUGCGGGCGUUAAUCGGAAUUACUGGGCGUAAAGCGUGCGCAGGCGGUUAUAUAAGACAGAUGUGAAAUCCCCGGGCUCAACCUGGGAACUGCAUUUGUGACUGCAUAGCUGGAGUGCGGCAGAGGGGGAUGGAAUUCCGCGUGUAGCAGUGAAAUGCGUAGAUAUGCGGAGGAACACCGAUGGCGAAGGCAAUCCCCUGGGCCUGCACUGACGCUCAUGCACGAAAGCGUGGGGAGCAAACA
rnacentral:rRNA from 1 species